GACGAACGCUGGCGGCGUGCUUAACACAUGCAAGUCGAACGGAAAGACCCUGCUUUUGUGGGGUGCUCGAGUGGCGAACGGGUGAGUAACACGUGAGUAACCUGCCCUUGACUUUGGGAUAACUUCAGGAAACUGGGGCUAAUACCGGAUAGGAGCUCCUGCUGCAUGGUGGGGGUUGGAAAGUUUCGGCGGUUGGGGAUGGACUCGCGGCUUAUCAGCUUGUUGGUGGGGUAGUGGCUUACCAAGGCUUUGACGGGUAGCCGGCCUGAGAGGGUGACCGGCCGCAUUGGGACUGAGAUACGGCCCAGACUCCUACGGGAGGCAGCAGUGGGGAAUAUUGCACAAUGGGCGGAAGCCUGAUGCAGCAACGCCGCGUGCGGGAUGACGGCCUUCGGGUUGUAAACCGCUUUCGCCUGUGACGAAGCGUGAGUGACGGUAAUGGGUAAAGAAGCACCGGCUAACUACGUG
rnacentral:rRNA from 1 species